AACGAACGCUGGCGGCAGGCCUAACACAUGCAAGUCGAACGCAUCCUUCGGGGUGAGUGGCGCACGGGUGAGUAACACGUGGGAAUGUACCCUUUGGUUCGGAAUAACGUUUGGAAACGAACGCUAAUACCGGAUGAGCCCUGCGGGGGAAAGAUUUAUCGGCAAAGGAGCAGCCCGCGUCUGAUUAGCUAGUUGGUGGGGUAAAGGCCUACCAAGGCGACGAUCAGUAGCUGGUCUGAGAGGAUGAUCAGCCACACUGGGACUGAGACACGGCCCAGACUCCUACGGGAGGCAGCAGUGGGGAAUAUUGGACAAUGGGCGCAAGCCUGAUCCAGCCAUGCCGCGUGAGUGAUGAAGGCCUUCGGGUUGUAAAGCUCUUUCGCACACGACGAUGAUGACGGUAGUGUGAGAAGAAGCCCCGGCUAACUUCGUGCCAGCCGCCGCUGUAAAAC
rnacentral:rRNA from 1 species